GUUUCGUGCUCUGUAUUCUAAUGGUAUGGGUAGAGAAUUUGUGUUCUUCGUGCUUUUAUCUGUUCAUACUAAUGUUACUUCUACAGCAUAUAUGCUUACCAUACCAAUCCACAUAGUGUGUCCCCUGCAGUGUGGUUGAGGAAGCACUGGGAAGAGGAGCUGCUGCCUUUUGGUCUCUGAAAGUUCUCUUUUUAAAGCACUCAGCAGAAGUUAUAAAGCUGCAGUAUAAAAGAAAAAGACAAGAAGAAAAGAAAUAAAGAUGAACAAGAAGGUUGGAAGAAUGAGUGAAGAUGGAAGACCGCACAGAAAGUAAGCCCUGGGAGUUAAGCUGGAGCAUUGUGGGGUUCCCUGGGAGGAGAGGGUGCUGGGGCAGGGACUUGGACACCUGGGGGACUGUGGG
rnacentral:lncRNA from 1 species